rnacentral:rRNA from 1 species
UACGUAGGCAGCGAGCGUUGUUCGGAGUUACUGGGCGUAAAGAGUGCGUAGGCGGUGACCUAAGUCUGGUGUGAAAUCUCCCGGCUCAACUGGGAGGGUGCGCCGGAAACUGGGUUGCUUGAGUGUGGGAGAGGCUAGCGGAAUUCCUGGUGUAGCGGUGAAAUGCGUAGAGAUCAGGAGGAACACCUGCGGUGUAGACGGCUGGCUGGACCACGACUGACGCUGAGACGCGAAAGCGUGGGGAGCGAACAGG